rnacentral:lncRNA from 1 species
UAGGUAGAAAGAAGAUCCAGGGCUAGCUCCCGCGGACUUUGUUCAUUCAUCCUAGUAUUAUCGGUGUCACCCGCCCCCGACUCUUCUAGAUUCUGCUGCCACGAUUGUUCCCCAUGCGAUUCUAAUCCGACUGUUCAUCCAGAGAUCGGGUGGCUGUGCUAUAGGCUACUUGGUAGUGUUCUCCCGUGUAGGUGUAGAUUCAGAGCUGUUGCAACUGCGCCUUAUGUACAGAUCUACUGCUCCUUAGUGUGGCUGCUGGACCUUAUGUAGACUUGUAGUGAUGUGGGGAAGGAUUAUCUGAUGCAACAUAUGCAGGAAGUACAAUUUCUGGAUCAGGUUUCGCGAAGAAUUUCUUAGAGCUGUCUGGUUCGAUCAAUCACGUUGAGUCUUGUCUUCUGCAGUUUGUUUUGGGUCGAGUAAAUUUUAGAUCGUUAUGUUUCUGCA